AAGCCCUGGGCUGUGGGAUUUGCGCUCGGACCCGACAGGACCUCCUGGGACCAUCUGAGGUUGACUGAAGAGGAGCCUGAGGCUCCAUGGGGCGGUGCUCUCCCGGGUGCCUGGAUAUGCAGGUCGGCGGGACACAGACCUGCUGUGGUCACCACCCAGGCCACAGAGGAUGCAGGAACCUGGCACCUGCCCCCGGAGCCAUCCACCCUGACCACAGAGGAAAUGAUGCAUCACCAAGGGUGGGGACGCGCCUCGGAGACAGCCCAGCAUGGCCCAGCUGUUGGGGGGGGCGCAUGUGAGACCCGCAGAGGGCAGCUGUGGGCUGAGCUGAGUGGGCCACUCAUCCUCGGAAGGCUUCCGCGGACGUCCAGUCACCAGACAGAGAGGAGCCGGGGGUCACCGGCGGGCGUUGCACAUCCUUCUGCUCCUUACCCCGAGCUUUCUGCACGCGGCUCAGCGCCGGCCGCCAGGAGGACUGUGGGGAACAGGGACAGGGCUGGACAAGGAGCGGAGAGGCGCAAAGGAGAAGUGGGCACCGAGAGGGAAUCCCCUGAGGAGGCCUGACCCUGUCCCUGCCCAGGGCCUGGCGCUGCUGCAGGUGCCAUCCAUGCUGGGGAAAUGACCCCGAGGGGCAGGGCCGGGUGGCUGCCUUCAGCUCUGCUGCUGCUCCAGGUCCCAGGCUGUUUGUCCCUGAGUGGUCCCCGAAGUGUGACAGGCAUCGUGGGGGGAUCCCUGAGCGUGGAGUGUCGGUACCAGGAGGCAUUGGUAGACAACAUCAAAUACUGGUGCAAACACCCGUGUGUGUCACCAUGGAAGAUUGUGGAGACCAGAGAGUCAGAGAGAGAAGUGAGGAGGGGCCGCGUGUCCAUCAGAGACCGACCUGCGAGCCUCACCUUCACAGUGACCUUAAAGAGCCUCAGAGAGGAGGAUGCGGGAACGUACGGAUGUGGGAUCUAUGUACCGUUUUCAGUUGACCCCACCUUCCAGGUGGUGGUGUCUGUGAUCCCAGUCACUAUGACAACCACCAGCCCCGAGAGGUCCACAAGCACCCCGGAGUCUCCCACGACCCUGCCAGUGCCCACCUGGAGCACCGUGUCUGGGCCUGAGGCCCCUGAUCCCGGCCAAGCUCAUCGGUCCCUGCUGGGCAGCGUCCACUUCCUGCUCCUGGUCUUCCUGAAGGUGCCCCUGCUCCUGGGCCUGCUCGGUGCCGUUCUAUGGGUCAACAGGCCUCUGAGGAGCUCUGCAGACAGGUGGAGUCGGUCCAUUUAUGAGAACCAGUAGCCCCAGUGUUCAUCGUGUCCUCUUCGAUGAUGCAGUCGGACCACUGGAUGGAAAUGAUCUUCUGACCCAUCUGUCCUGUAUCACCCUCCAUCUCUCUCUAGAAUACUCUGUGGAUUUCCUUGUAGCUUUCUUUCCUUGCCCAUGAUUCUCUAAAAGCUAAAGAGUACCUCCUCAAUAGGUGCUUCUGAACUGUGACCACAGAUCAAUAUUGAGUUCAGAGCUUCCAACUCAUCCGCAGAGCAUCAGUCAUGCACUGAAUUCUCAGGUGCCCUCUCUGCAGGCUUCAAACCCCAGGAGUGUGGGAAUCUGGCUUUUGGAUCUGUUUUGAUGGAUCCAGGCAGUUCCAUGGUUUCCCACAUGAUCCGUGCUACCAUAAUCACCCACCCUUCACAGGUCUCGGAUCCACUGUGGGGAAUCCUCCAGUUGCUGAUUGUGUCUAUUUAAUUAGGCAUUCUAAAGCUCAGGAAACAACAAUGCAGAGAGUCGAUGGUCCACAGGGCCAGCAUGCACGGGACCUGAAUCAAGACUCCAUUCUGCACGAACCUUCACACCCCACUGUUCUGUCCAAUGGACCGAAGGACCAUGUGGGAUUCUCCAAUUGGUGUCAAUUCAGAGCAGAAUCCAGCAUUGCAUGGAAAAUCAGAUUAUUCCCUUCCCCAUGCCCAGUCAAACUGGUUAGUGUGUUUAGGUCCUUUGUGGAUGGCUGGUAGAAAAUAACAGUAUGAAAUUUAUGCAACUA